UACGUAGGGUGCGAGCGUUGCCCGGAUUUAUUGGGCGUAAAGGGCGCGUAGGCGGCCACGCACGUCCGUUGUGAAAUCGCCCGGCUCAACUGGGCGGGGUCAGCGGAUACGGUGUGGCUCGAGCAAGCUAGGGGGCAAUGGAAUUCCUGGUGUAGCGGUGAAAUGCGCAGAUAUCAGGAGGAACACCGAUGGCGAAGGCAGGUCUCUGGGCAUUAACUGACGCUGAGGCGCGAAAGCGUGGGGAGCAAACAGG
rnacentral:rRNA from 1 species